UAGGGAAUCUUCCGCAAUGGACGCAAGUCUGACGGAGCAACGCCGCGUGAGGGAAGAAGGUUUUCGGAUCGUAAAACUCUGUUGUAAGAGAAGAACAAAUUGUAGAGUAACUGCUACAGUCGUGACGGUAUCUUACCAGAAAGCCACGGCUAACUACGUGCCAGCAGCCGCGGUAAUACGUAGGUGGCAAGCGUUGUCCGGAUUUAUUGGGCGUAAAGGGGGCGCAGGCUGCUUCUUAAGUCUGAUGUGAAAGCCCACGGCUUAACCGUGGAACUGCCUUGGACACUGGUAAGCUUGAGUACAGAAGAGGAAAGUGGAACUCCAUGUGUAGCGGUGGAAUGCGUAGAUAUAUGUAAGAACACCAGUGGCCAAAGCGACUUUCUGUUCUGUCACUGACGCUGAGGCCCGCAAGCGUGGGUAGCAAACAGG
rnacentral:rRNA from 1 species